rnacentral:lncRNA from 1 species
ACCUUGAGUGGAUUUGUGGGUUGUUUGAAGUGAUGAUGUGAAGAUUUCCAAGCCUAAACACUUGAAUGGGGUUGAUGAACUUCCUUGAAAAGAAUAUUAUCCUAAGAAUUUUAACACAUAAUAAUAUGUGUAAAUAUGAUGAAACUAACAUAAAAGUGUACAAAUACACUAGACUUUGAAGGAAUACUUACCAAAUUCUAAGAACACACGUGAAGAAUUUUGAACUUGGAAGAUUUUGGCUUUCUUUUUUAGAGAGUUUGAAGUUAUAGCAAAGAGAAAUGGAAGUGGGGGUUUUUGAUUGCUUACUGUCAUGUAUAAAAAGGAAAGGGUGAAGUGAUAUUACUUAGUUAACUGUUGGUUAUAAGUUUGGAUACUUGUUGGGUAUACAUCGCAUGGGAAACUGAUGAAAUAUCCUAUCACAAAGUCAACUAUCCUUGUCUUUUACUUCUCUUAAACCGAAAUCACAUUAGAAAUGACUUAAAGUGGUGAUUUCGGCCAAUGUAUGACCGAAAUCACCUUGCACCCUUUGUGAUUUCGGUACUAACUCCCCCACAAAGGUGUUUUCAGUCUUAGUUGUUUGGAUCUUAGGUGUUUUCGGCCUAGGGGUUUUCUAGGUUGGUGAUUUCGGCCUCCUUACAACCUAAAUCUCAAGGAGGGUGGGGUACUAGGCCAAAAACUAUAAAGCAAAGUUUUAAAUUCAUGAUUUAUGUUCCAACUAUUAGGCUUUGCUUGAACUUUAAGUGUUUACUAAAAAUAUGAUUUUCAAAGUAUAAAUAUAUACAUACAUAUAUACUUUAAAGCAAAGUUUUAAAUUCAUGAUUUAUGUUCCAACUAUUAGGCUAUGCUUGAACUUUAAGUGUUUACUAAAAAUAUGAUUUUCAAAGUAUAAAUAUAUACAUACAUAUAUACUUGUACAAAUAAUGCUCUUUUUGGCUUUCAAAAUUUUAUUGCAACAAGGUUACAUUGUGGUUGUACUUAUACAUAGCUACAUUUUAAACCUUGCUUACACGAAAUUUGCCAGUUGUCACACAAACCCACGUAGCUCACAAGGCAUUAUUGUCUUGCGUAUCUUUUUUUAGUGUCAUGUAUCUCAGGUUACCUUUAAGGAAAGAGGAUGAUAGAUGGAAGUUAGAAGUCACGUUAUAGAGAAUGGAGUGAAACUUGAUUAGUUCCUUAUUAUUUUGUAUUGAUGUAGUUCGUAUUUGCUUGCUAUGGAUUUAUUGAUGCUUAAUGGUAACACCCUAAGUUUUGAUUUAGAAAGUUUUUUUGGGACCGGUUUUUGUUAAAUGUUGGUUAAUACCCGAAUGUUUUUAAAACAUUGCAUUUUAAAGUUGGAAAAAAAUUUGAAAAUUUUGGGGUGUUACAUAAUGUGUGGUAGGUAUGAUGAAUUUGGUGAUGGAUAUGGCGUUUGGUGGUGGCUAGAUUGUCUUUUGUUGGUUGAUGAGGUAGUGAUGGUGGAGAUUAGGAGAUGGAGGUUAAGGUUUGGUAGGGGGGCUGAAAUCGAUGAAUUGAUUUAUGGUCAUGAUUGCCACGACGUCGUUUGGUAGGGCAAGGAAAUCUAUGGGAUGUGUCCCGAUAAACUUGAAUCCUCAAGGAUAUUAGUAGUGUUCAUGUGAUGCAGUGGUGAAUAAGAAAGAGAG